rnacentral:rRNA from 1 species
GAUGAACGCUAGCUACUGGCUUAACACAUGCAAGUCGAGGGGUAACAAGAGAAAAGCUUGCUUUUUUUGUUGACGACCGGCGCACGGGUGAGUAACGCGUAUCCAACCUGCCUAUAACUAGGGAAUAACCUUGCGAAAGUAAGACUAAUACCCUAUGAUUUCCUUUGAUGACAUCAGAUUAGGAAUAAAGAUUUAUCGGUUAUAGAUGGGGAUGCGUCUGAUUAGCUUGUUGGCGGGGUAAUGGCCCACCAAGGCAACGAUCAGUAGGGGUUCUGAGAGGAAGGCCCCCCACAUUGGAACUGAGACACGGUCCAAACUCCUACGGGAGGCAGCAGUGAGGAAUAUUGGUCAAUGGGCGGAAGCCUGAACCAGCCAAGUAGCGUGCAGGAUGACGGCCCUAUGGGUUGUAAACUGCUUUUAUACAGGAAUAAAGUUAGCCACGUGUGGUUAUUUGUAGGUACUGUAUGAAUAAGGACCGGCUAAUUCCGUGCCAGCAGCCGCGGUAA